rnacentral:rRNA from 1 species
AACGAACGCUGGCGGCAUGCCUAACACAUGCAAGUCGAACGAGACCUUCGGGUCUAGUGGCGCACGGGUGCGUAACGCGUGGGAACCUGCCCUUAGGUUCGGAAUAACUCCCCGAAAGGGGUGCUAAUACCGGAUAAUGUCUUCGGACCAAAGAUUUAUCGCCUUUGGAUGGGCCCGCGUUGGAUUAGCUAGUUGGUAGGGUAAAAGCCUACCAAGGCGACGAUCCAUAGCUGGUCUGAGAGGAUGAUCAGCCACACUGGGACUGAGACACGGCCCAGACUCCUAGGGGAGGAAGCAGUGGGGAAUAUUGGACAAUGGGCGAAAGCCUGAUCCAGCAAUGCCGGGUGAGUGAUGAAGGCCUUAGGGUUAAAAAGCUCUUUUACCCGGGAUGAAAAGGAAAGUACCGGGAGAAUAAACCCCGGCUAACCCCGU